ACACACACACAUAUAUAUGUAAUGAGAUUUUUAAAAUAUGUUUUCUCAUAUCAGUUUUUACAGAUAGGUGCCAAUUUUAGGAAACCUGUGCAAAUUGAAGGUUUGGCUUUUCAUCUUUUGCUACUGUAUACAAAAGGUGGGACUCGUGGUUGAAGAAUGCUUUAUAAUCAUAAUAGCCACUGAAGAAAUCAUAUAGCCGACACAUAGCUGGCAUUUGGAACUUAUUAGAUACCCAGAUUACAGCAAGAACAUAACAAAGAACAUUUCAGCUAUUCUGCAAAACAUGAUUGCAGGCCGCGCUUAUACAGCAGGUUCCAUUCCGGACUGCCACCGAAAAGCGGAAACCACCGAAAAGUGGAACCCCUUGAAAAUAAUGGUGUGCGUCACGCGAAAAUGGCGUGCGAUGAAAAAAACCGCGGUAAAAGCAGAACAAGUGUCUUAAAGUGGGGACUUUCUGGAAUUGAAAGCCGCCGCAUUAGCACCACGCUGAAAGGCAAAACGCCGUAAAGCGGGGCCCACCUGUAUUGUUUCCUUAAAGUGUUUUGCUUUGACUUCAUUCAUUAUGUUGGUUUGGUUUUAAAUGAGGUUUUGUACACCACAUAGUGCCACAAUUCUCUCUGAGUGGAGGCACUGGGGGAAGAGGACUCAGAAUAGGACCAGAGGGGGAUGAGAUCAUGCAGCAGACCCUGCUUGAUAAAGCCCCCCAUUCUGCCCCAGAUAUUCCUGGACCUGACAAGGUGAGAGACCCAGGGACUGCCCCUUCCCAGACUCCGGAGGACAGAGAGGGCUCAGGAGUGAAGCCUGCUGUGACAGAGUGGGAGAGUUCAGAGUUACACCUAGCGAUGUCUCCCAGGAAGAGGCAGCAUCUCGAGAGGAGACUCAACCCCUUGGAGGACCACCUGUCUUUAGGCAAGGAAUGCCUGCAGAAGCCGGGAUUCUUGUAUCUCCGCCUCUGCUUAAAGCUUGGCGGAUAGGCAGGGACACUCUUUGGAAUGACCUUGCAGCUCCAGUGCAGCCUUGGCAUUGUUGUUACAGAUCUCGGACUUGUGAAGCCUGCCCUUGGGCCUGGCCUGGCCUUAACAUCUGCCAACCCUUCACCUUGGAAGAGCUCCUGGACAGUAUCUGGCUUGUGCAUGCCUCUGAGCCUGUACCAUUAAUCUGCUUUAAUAAAG